GCGGAUGUGGCUCAGUUGGUAGAGCAUCACCUUGCCAAGGUGAGGGUCGCGGGUUCGAGUCCCGUCAUCCGCUCUA
rnacentral:tRNA from 8 species